GUGAGGAAUAUUGGACAAUGGGCGCAAGCCUGAUCCAGCCAUGCCGCGUGCAGGAAGACGCAUCUAUGGUGUGUAAACUGCUUUUGUACGGGAAGAAACACUCCCUCGUGAGGGAGCUUGACGGUACCGUAAGAAUAAGGAUCGGCUAACUCCGUGCCAGCAGCCGCGGUAAUACGGAGGAUCCAAGCGUUAUCCGGAAUCAUUGGGUUUAAAGGGUCCGUAGGCGGUUUAAUAAGUCAGUGGUGAAAGCCCAUCGCUCAACGAUGGAACGGCCAUUGAUACUGUUAGACUUGAAUUACAAGGAAGUAACUAGAAUAUGUAGUGUAGCGGUGAAAUGCUUAGAUAUUACAUGGAAUACCAAUUGCGAAGGCAGGUUACUACUUGUGGAUUGACGCUGAUGGACGAAAGCGUGGGGAUCAAACAGGAUUAGAAACCCCGGUAGUCC
rnacentral:rRNA from 1 species